rnacentral:rRNA from 1 species
CCUACGGGAGGCAGCAGUGGGGAAUAUUGGCCAAUGGGCGCAAGCCUGACCCAGCAACGCCGCGUGAAGGAAGAAGGCUUUCGGGUUGUAAACUUCUUUUCUCAGGGACGAAGAAAGUGACGGUACCUGAGGAAUAAGCCACGGCUAACUACGUGCCCGCAGCCGCGGGAAUACGUAGGUGGCAAGCGUUAUCCGGAUUUACUGGGUGUAAAGGGCGUGUAGGCGGGAAAGCAAGUCAGAUGUGAAAACCAUGGGCUCAACCUGUGGCCUGCAUUUGAAACUGUUUUUCUUGAGUACUGGAGAGGCAGACGGAAUUCGUAGUGUAGCGGUGAAAUGCGUAGAUAUUAGGAGGAACACCAGUGGCGAAGGCGGUCUGCUGGACAGCAACUGACGCUGAGGCGCGAAAGCGUGGGGAGCAAACAGGAUUAGAUACCCUUGUAGUC